ACCUGGCUGGCUCAGUCAGUAGAGCAUGCGACUCUUGAUUUCCAGGGCUGUGAGUUCAAGUCCCACAUCGGGUG
rnacentral:tRNA from 1 species